GAUGAACGCUGGCGGCGUGCCUAACACAUGCAAGCCGAACGAGGUAAAUAAGAGGAAGUUUUCGGAUGGAAUCGUAUUUACCGAGUGGCGGACGGGUGAGUAACGCGUGGGUAACCUGCCUCACACAGGGGGAUAGCAGUUGGAAACGACUGGUAAUACCGCAUAAGCGCACAGCUUCGCAUGAAGCGGUGUGAAAAACUCCGGUGGUGUGAGAUGGACCCGCGUCUGAUUAGGUAGUUGGUGAGGUAACGGCCCACCAAGCCGACGAUCAGUAGCCGACCUGAGAGGGUGACCGGCCACAUUGGGACUGAGACACGGCCCAGACUCCUACGGGAGGCAGCAGUGGGGAAUAUUGCACAAUGGAGGAAACUCUGAUGCAGCGACGCCGCGUGAGUGAAGAAGUAUUUCGGUAUGUAAAGCUCUAUCAGCAGGGAAGACGGUGACGGUACCUGACUAAAAAGCUCCGGCUAAAUACGUGCCAGCAGCCGCGGUAA
rnacentral:rRNA from 1 species